ACUUAUUUCCUCCUCCACUUUUAAAUCAAUGGAUGUUAAUUUUUCAGUGUUGGUGGGCGUGAAUUGAAUUCCCACAUUGACAUGGUUCUACAUAACAAAUGCGAGUGCAUGAAUGAAUAUUUAAACUACUCUUCAAUCCCCAAGUGAAGAUAAGUCCUAGAGAAUUGCAGUAGUACAAUUCCGUAAAGAUUGGGCUUUCUUCUGCAUCAUCUGUUGCAUAAUUUAAUUUUGAAGUUGGCCUCAUGGAACUAUGUUAUUGCUGCAGCUACUUGAGGCGAGGUUUGGGAUGGCAGUUACCGAAAGUAGUAGGCUUUGAACUUUUCACCUCUUUGGUGAUGGCUUUUAUCAGCUGGCAGCUCUUUGCUGCAUGUCAGAGGCCAUCCAGCUAAGCAACAGCGAAUUUACAGAUGAGGAAAUGGGCUAGUUCUCUGUGGUACAAGCAUUCUUAAUGAUUGCCUUUUUCUUUCGAGGCUGGUUUAGGAAUAUAAAGGCGUUGUAUCUUUCUCUCGUGGAAUUUCAUGUCCCAAGGGAUUUUGGAUUAUGCAUUUGCAAAAUUUUGCAGCGAUAUGCAGUUUAGGGGGUCCUUUUCCAACAAUCACUUCGCAGUUUACAUGUGCGGUUGAUGGAUCUUUCAUUCCAAAAUGACUUGAAUGCUCCAUCGCUUUUUUAGGCACUUGAAAAAAGGUUGUUGUUACCUCAUAUCUCUUUCACUCAAUCCACAAAACCAUGAAACUAAAACCUACUCCUCGUCUUAAAACCCACUUAACAAACAUAGAUAAGAGUGCAUAUUCUGAAGGUGAAAAAAGAAACAAGAAAACUUGGCGAGCUGAUCAGCGUCCCCAAAUCUGACUGACAAUAUAGUGCUAAUGUCGCCAUUUACUGUCACCCAUAAAAUGUAGAACUAAUGGAGAAUUAACCUGGGAGUCCAUUUGAUCCAACCAUACAAGCUGCUAGGAAAGGAUAAGAAAAGGAUGACUACACGCAUGAAGAGUAAAGUUCUAGAGAAUAUACAGCAUAUUUUGUUUCAAAAUGGAUUAAAAAGCACACACAAGAAAAAGGAUGGAAGAGUUUUACCCUCUCUCUUACAGAAGUCACUGCAAAAGCAAAAACCAUUAAACGGAUCUGAAAAUACUUCAAAAUAAAGGCCUGCAUUACAUCCAGGUGCAUUAAACACAUCUAAGCAUAGCCAAACCCAACUUCCAAGCUCAAAACGUUAAUGCCCUUCUUAAUUCUUGCCCUCAUAUCUUCAUGGGCUUCCUACCCUUCAGAUUGAUCGGAGGCAGCCGAGUAACCGGAAUCACACCCUCUACCACUUUGAAGAUGCUGACGUCCAUUACUAUGUCAUCUGUUGCUGCUCCGGUCACAAGGUUGAACAGACACACAUCGAAUUCUUCAAGGAAAUUUUCAUGUACAAAUCUUUUCCAACCGCCCGCCAGUCCACCUGUACGAUAAUCCCUCUUAUAGAACCUCACCUUCCAAGUUUUGUCUUUCACUUGGAGUGUAAGAUCUUGGCUUCUGUUCGGCAUAUAUUUCGUUGCCCAUUCAGAAGGAAUUUGCUGCCAUUACAAUAUAAACAAUUAAAAUCUUCAAUUCUAAUCAUAUUUCAAAGAUAGGAAUACACAAACACGUACAUUCAAAAGAAAGUAUAUAACCAGAAAGAAAGGUUAUCAGCAAAAGUUUACCAGAUAAAAUCCCCUGUAAACAUGUGUCGGCCGCAUGACAACUAUAAAGGAGUUUUCAGAUGCUGAUGCACAUGCCAUCUUUAGGGCCUCAUCUUUAUCUUCCUCAGUCACUUGCCUCCUGUGCGACGCCGGGCCAGAAAAAACACUCCGAUUGAUGGAACCUUUUUUUUUUUUUUUUUUUGAAGUCAGAGUAAGUCAAAAAGCAUCACAUUGAAAUGUUGGAUUCUUCCCAACAACUGAGUGAAGAGUUUUUUACUGCAUUUGACAUUAUAACAAUCUAAAACCAACGAUGUGCUACAGGAAUUGAAACCAUUAUAGACUUUUUCUUUUAAGCUAUGUAUCCGGCACCACAAGGCUCUUAACUAAAUUUGGAUUUCUCUUAAGAUACUUACUACAUGUUCCCCGUUGCCGUCCUCGAGACCUUGGCGGCAAAGCACCAUGCUUUCUAGGUCUUUUUGAUGGGGUAGACUCAGAAACGUCGUGUGAAGCUUCAUUAGUAACCUCAAUAGUUUCUGUAGGAUUAUCCUUUCUUUUGCAUCCACCAUCGGUCCCUCCAUUCUCGCAUCUUUUUAUGAAAUAAGAACUCUCUUUCUCGCAUAAGCUUUGAUAGUCAAACAUCAAAACAUCAAAUCGCGAAGCCCCAACGUACUUAAAAAUUAAGACAUCAUUUUCCUUCAGAGAGUGAUCUACAACAAACUUUUUCCAUCCUUCUUUCAAAUACAGUGUAUCAUCAAUCAUUGUUAAUCCAGCCUUCCAUUCAAGGCCACUAGGACCUUUGAGUGAAACGGCUCCUACUAGCUUCUCUUUCAAAUUGUUGGCAAAUUUUUGGGGAAUAGCCUGCAUGUUUGGUUCAAAUCACAAAUUUUAGAGCACUGAAUUUGAUUGUGGGAGAGUGAAUCAGAUGAACAGAAAUAAAUAAAUAAACAUAUGUGUGUGUGUAUCUUGUUUUCGUUCCUGCUAAUGGUGACGGUUCACAAGUACAACUUUCUUGAGAACAGAUAAUACUACCUAUGUAGUGUAUUUAAAUUGAAAAUUUUCUCUCAUGUUGUUCUCAAGUUUAUUUUCUUCUCCAUUGUUCAUCCCAACUGGUAUGUGAAUAUACUGCUUCCUUUUUCCAAUGUACUGCUAAAAUGUACAAACGGGUGAGGAUUUAAAGCCUAUUUUUUGUAGAUGAACAACCAAAAAUUUUUUUUUUUAAAUAAUUACAAUGAUAAAUUGAAAAAAAAAAUUAAAAUCAUUACAAGUCAAUUUCUAUCUUGGAUGAUGAAAACGGGUUAAAUUAUCCAAAUCCGGAGGAGCCAGCAGUCCCCUCCUUAUGCAUGGCAAGUAGCAGCAGGCAUCUUUUUUCUAUGUUUCUUUAGCCCUUGAAAGAAUGCAGCUAAACUACGCAGGGGGAGGGGUGGGGGCGACUAAAAACUUACAAGUUGGUUUCGAUAAUUACGGCCAGAGAGAGUUUGAAAGAACUGAGCUGACUGAAAAUGGGACCAGUAAAUUUCUUCCUCCCACUUCCUACAGGCCCUGCCAUCAUCUCCCAUUUUUCUUCCACUAAUCAGCUUUAUUCUUCCUCCUGAAAUCGAACCAGACAAAAACAAGAAAAACCCUCAACCAGAAGCCAAAAAUACAAAAAAAAAAAAAAUGGAAGAUCAUUACAGAUAGAAUUGAGAUGACGAGAAGGUAGAAACAGAUGAGAGAAAAUCUCAACCAUAAAGCCAGAAGGUUACCUUGCCUAACUUUUUCUUAACAACGAGGUUUAUUUUUCUGUUGACAGGGUGGGCUUUUGCUGAUUCUGUUCUUCAUAGGUUGGCACCCCUUUGGGUAGGUGCUAGAGGUUUAGAGUUCACAUGGGACUACAUUUUGCAAGGACUAGAAGCAAAUGCAAAUUUGGUAAUUAGUUUCUGUACUUGAUAAUUUAAUUGUUAAAAGUUCAGUCGCGAUAUAGGAUUACAUGUUGGAGCGGACGAUAUUUUGCAGACAAUGAAAAGUUGUGUACUUGAGACUUUUCUAGUCCUUGAACUAAAUCCUUUUCCUGCCGUGUUGUUCUCUGUUUAUUCAGGUUUUGAGUAUAUCACUUGCUGCUUUGGGGUCUUUGAUGUGGCUUCGGAAGAACAAGCCCAAGACAUUGAUCCCUAUCAUAUACACGUGUGCAGGGAUUGUUGCGACAAUGCCAUCAAUAACGAGGUUCGCUUUUUCCUCACUUAUUUCCUCCUCCACUUUUAAAUCAAUGGAUGUUAAUUUUUCAGUGUUGGUGGGUGUGAAUUGAAUUGCCACAUUGGCAUGGUUCUACAUGACAAAUGGGAGUGCAUGAAUGAAUAUUUAAACUACUCUUUCAUCCCCGACUGAAGAUAAGUUGUAGAGAAUUGCAGUAGUACAAUUCCGUAAAGAUUGAGCUGUCUUCUGCAUCAUCUGUCGCAUAAUUUAAUUUUGAAGUUGGCCUCAUGGAACUAUGUUAUUGCUGCAGCUACUUGAGGCGAGGUUUGGGAUGGCAGUUACCGAAAGUAGUAGGCUUUGAACUUUUCACCUCUUUGGUGAUGGCUUUUAUCAGCUGGCAGCUCUUUGCUGCAUGUCAGAGGCCAUCGAGCUAAGCAACAGCGAAUUUACAGAUGAGGAAAUGGGCUAGUUCUCUGUGGUACAAGCAUUCUUAAUGAUUGCCUUUUUCUUUCGAGGCUGGUUUAGGAAUAUAAAGGCGUUGUAUCUUUCUCUUGUGGAAUUUCGUGUCCCAAGGGAUUUUGGAUUAUGCAUUUGCAAAAUUUUGCAGCGAUAUGCAAU
rnacentral:lncRNA from 1 species